UCCAUUCUAUUUGUGACCUAGGAUCAGAUACACAAAUUAUUGUCGAUUUUUCUUUCGAUAAAUGUAAAUCAUCCUACUCGAUAACCCGUUUUUUUUAUCGAAUAUGUUUCUUUAUUUCUCAAAAAAAAAAAAAAGGUGUUAAAGGGUCUUUUCGUUGAUGGACAGGUUGAUUGACCCAUCCAUUUUCGGGCCAUGUUUGUUCGAAAAUAAUCUGACACAAAGCUACGGUUUCGUAUGAAUCCAUGUAAAAAACAAACACAGGUUUGGUCCCUCCCAUCCCACUCCCUUGGAUCUCGACCGUUGAUCCACUCAUAUUUUUAUACAUGUUAGGAUUACUA
rnacentral:lncRNA from 1 species